rnacentral:rRNA from 1 species
AUACGUAGGGGGCGAGCGUUGUCCGGAAUGAUUGGGCGUAAAGGGCGCGUAGGCGGCCCGGUAAGUCUGGAGUGAAAGUCCUGUUUUUAAGAUGGGAAUUGCUUUGGAUACUGUCGGGCUUGAGUGCAGGAGAGGUAAGUGGAAUUCCCAGUGUAGCGGUGAAAUGCGUAUAGAUUGGGAGGAACACCAGUGGCGAAGGCGACUUACUGGACUGUAACUGACGCUGAGGCGCGAAAGUGUGGGGAGCAAACAGGAUUAGAUGCCCUGGUAGUCCACACUGUAAACGAUGAAUGCUAGGUGUAGGGGGUAUCGACCCCUUCUGUGCCGCAGUCAACACAAUAAGCAUUCCGCCUGGGGAGUACGGCCGCAAGGUUGAAACUCAAAUGAAUUGACGGGG